rnacentral:lncRNA from 1 species
GUGGAAACAGGAGAGUCUGAAGAAUACAAAUAUGGCCACGGCUAUGACAGCUAAGGAGAAGGUGCACGCUACCACUAUCGUCGAUGUUUUCAUACUGUUUGUAGCGUGUUCUACGGAACCGAAUCCCAGCUGGGAAUCUUUAUUCCCCGAUGAUUCUGAAAACGUACAGUACAUAAAUAUAUAUAAAUUAGUAAAAAUUACACGAAUAAGCUUUGCUUUAAUUACCGACGUUAAACAGCAUUAGUAAUGUUAUUACUAAGCGGAGAGAAAUUACAGAAUUUCAGCAAUAACCGAGCGAAUAUAUUAAAUGAAGAUAUAUAACUCUCUCGUUCCAGAAAACGACUUUGUUUCGGAAUUUUAUCAAAUUCUAUUUUUCUUUUUAUAGGCGACUUAAAGAGAUUAGAAGGAAUUGCCA